GACGAACGCUGGCGGCGUGCUUAACACAUGCAAGUCGAACGGAAAGGCCUGCUUUCCCUUGUGGAUUGCGGGUACUCGAGUGGCGAACGGGUGAGUAACACGUGAGUGAUCUGCCCCCAACUUGGGUAUAAGCCUGGGAAACUGGGUCUAAUUCCCGAUAGGACUGCAGGGUGGUGCCUGUGGUGGAACACGAUUUUCUAGUGGUUGGGGAUGAGCUCGCGGCCUAUCAGCUUGUUGGUGGGGUAAUGGCCUACCAAGGCGGCGACGGGUAGCCGGCCUGAGAGGGUGGGCGGCAACAUUGGGACUGCGAUACGGCCCAGACUACUACGGGAGGCAGCAGUGGGGAAUAUGGCACGAGGGGCGGAAGCCUGAUGCAGCGACGCCGCGUGGGGGAUGACGGCCUUCGGGUUGUAAACUCCUUUCGACCGCGAGGAAGCCACCUGGUUGGAAGGGUGGUGACGGUAGUGGUAGAAGAAGCACCGGCUAACUACGUG
rnacentral:rRNA from 1 species